AUGAUAAUAAAACAGAGCAUGUCCAAGAAUCACCAUUACCUACAAAUAUGUCUGGCGAUGAAAAUAAUUCUCCUCAAUUAUGUGAUGAUGUUAUAAAACGACGUCGAUUGGCUAUUGCAAAAGCUACUGCGGCCAGUGAAGUAGAUCAGCAUUUUGUACAAUCUGAAAGUAUUUAUACUACGC